rnacentral:rRNA from 1 species
UGGAUCCAGACUUUGAUCAUGGCUCAGGACGAACGCUGGCGGCGCGCCUAACACAUGCAAGUCGAACGGAGUUAUUUUCUUCACUCCGAGCUUUUUGCCAGUUAGCCGGAGCGGCAAUCGGUUUUGCCCAGCAUAAAAAGCAAAACCGAUUCAGGCUCAUAAAGUAAGACUAACACAGAGGGCAGAGAGUUGGGAGUGAAGAAAAUAACUUAGUGGCGAACGGGUGAGUAACGCGUGAGUAACCUGCCCUGGAGUGGGGGACAACAGUUGGAAACGACUGCUAAUACCGCAUAAGCCCACGGCCCGGCAUCGGGCUGCGGGAAAAGGAUUUAUUCGCUCCAGGAUGACUCGCGUCCAAUUAGCUAGUUGGUGAGGUAACGGCCCACCAAGGCGACGAUUGGUAGCCGGACUGAGAGGUUGAACGGCCACAUUGGGACUGAGACACGGCCCAGACUCCUACGGGAGGCAGCAGUGGGGGAUAUUGUACAAUGGGGGGAACCCUGAUGCAGCGACGCCGCGUGGAGGAAGAAGGUUUUCGGAUUGUAAACUCCUGUCGUUAGGGGCGAUAGUGACGGUACCUAACAAGAAAGCACCGGCUAACUACGUGCCAGCAGCCGCGGUAAAACGUAGGGUGCAAGCGUUGUCCGGAAUUACUGGGUGUAAAGGGAGCGCAGGCGGACCGGCAAGUUGGAAGUGAAAACUAUGGGCUCAACCCAUAAAUUGCUUUCAAAACUGCUGGCCUUGAGUAGUGCAGAGGUAGGUGGAAUUCCCGGUGUAGCGGUGGAAUGCGUAGAUAUCGGGAGGAACACCAGUGGCGAAGGCGACCUACUGGGCACCAACUGACGCUGAGGCUCGAAGGCAUGGGUAGCAAACAGGAUUAGAUACCCUGGUAGUCCAUGCCGUAAACGAUGAUUACUAGGUGUUGGAGGAUUGACCCCUUCAGUGCCGCAGUUAACACAAUAAGUAAUCCACCUGGGGAGUACGACCGCAAGGUUGCAACUCAAAGGAAUUGACGGA